UACAGAGGUCUCAAGCGUUGUUCGGAUUCAUUGGGCGUAAAGGGUGCGUAGGUGGCGUGGUAAGUCGGGUGUGAAAUUUCGGAGCUUAACUCCGAAACUGCAUUCGAUACUGCUGUGCUUGAGGACUGGAGAGGAGACUGGAAUUUACGGUGAGCAGUGAAAUGCGUAGAGAUCGUAAGGAAGACCAGUGGCGAAGGCGGGUCUCGUGGACAGUUCCUGACGCUGAGGCACGAAGGUCAGGGGAGCAAACGGG
rnacentral:rRNA from 1 species